AAGUCGUAACAAGGUUUCCGUAGGUGAACCUGCGGAAGGAUCAUUAACACGUAUCCAACGUUAAACCCCCCGUGAACCUUCAGUGCGCUCGCACCCUGGUAAAUCAUUGCCGAACAGUUUUGAUUCAGGGACUUCUGCGUAGACUGUGCUUGAGCGUGAGGCAAGUGGCCUGGCAUUCCUCUGCUUGUUGGUGUCUGAAAGUGUCACCAGCUCUGUACGAAUGGCGCAGUCACGAUCGCUAGAGGCCGACACGGCCGGCGACCGGGUCACUGGGCGCGAGCCCCCCUCGUCACCUUUGCAUGAAAACGGGCCUGCGCUUAAUUGUGCGGCCACCAAACUCGAACAACUGUUAACAAUGGAUAUCUUGGUUCUC
rnacentral:misc_RNA from 1 species